CCUACGGGGUGCAGCAGUGAGGAAUAUUGGUCAAUGGACGCAAGUCUGAACCAGCCAUGCCGCGUGCAGGAAGACUGCUCUAUGAGUUGUAAACUGCUUUUGUACGAGGGUAAACUCAGAUACGCGUAUCUUUCUGAAAGUAUCUUACGAAUAAGGAUCGGCUAACUCCGUGCCAGCAGCCGCGGUAAUACGGAGGAUUCAAGCGUUAUCCGGAUUUAUUGGGUUUAAAGGGUGCGUAGGCGGUCGGAUAAGUUAGAGGUGAAAUCCCGAGGCUCAAUUUCGGAAUUGCCUCUGAUACUGUUCGGCUAGAGAGUAGUUGCGGUAGGCGGAAUGUAUGGUGUAGCGGUGAAAUGUUUAGAGAUCAUACAGAACACCGAUUGCGAAGGCAGCUUACCAAGCUACUUCUGACGUUGAGGCACGAAAGCGUGGGGAGCAAACAGGAUUAGAUACCCGAGUAGUC
rnacentral:rRNA from 1 species